rnacentral:lncRNA from 1 species
UUUCUUACUAUCUUUGUUAUUUUCAACUGAUUCUACGACCUUGCUCUUGCCACCACCAUCUACAUUAGACUGAUUCUCUUCUUUUCUAUCAACAGCAGCUGAACUUAUAGUUUGUGAUUCAUCACUAUGAGUGGCCUGUUUUACAACAUUUGUUGAAUCCUGCUUGCUUGGUUCACUUUUAUCAACGUUGGUCGAAUCUUGCUUGAUUGGUUCACUUUUAUUGGUAGGCACUUCCUUUGCAACGUUGGUCGAAUCCUGCUUGCUUGGUUCACUUUUAUUAGCAGGCACUUCAUUUGCAACGUUGGUCGAAUCUUGAGUGGCAGGUUCUUUCUUUACAUCAUUGACAGAGCUUUCAACAACAGAUCCCUCUUUUCCCUUUUCAUCGACUUUCGAUUUGGCAAUGCUCUCUUGUUCAUUAUCGUCUUCAUCAUCG